rnacentral:rRNA from 1 species
UGGAGGGAAAGACAAAGUCAAUUGACUUUCAAAGGUUGAUUGAGCUGGGUCUGUGUUUACUUUGAAAAAACAAGAGUGCUAAAGGCAGGCGGCCAGUCGGAAUAGUUGUGCAUGGAAUAAUAUAACAAGGAGUUGUGUUUGUUAUGUUGGUCUCAAACGUAACUUGAUGAUAAAUAGAGACUGACGGGGGCAUAUGUAUUCAAGCGCUAGAGGUGAAAUUCUUGGACCGCUUGAAGACAUCCAAAAGCGAAAGCAUAUGCCAAGUAUGUUUUCAUUGAUCAAGAACGAAAGUUAGAGGAUCGAAGGCGAUUAGAUACCGCCCUAGUUCUAACCAUAAACGAUGCCAACCAGUAAUCUGUCGCAUGUCUAUUGACGUGGUGACAGGCGACUUUUGGAAACUAAAGUUAUUUGGUUCCAGGGGAAGUAUGGUUGCAAAGCUGAAACUUAGAGUAAUUGACGGAAGGGCACCACCAGGAGUGGAGCUUGUGGCUUAAUUUGACUCAACACGGGAAAACUUACCAGGCCAGAACACUAGAAGGAUUGACAGACUAAGGGCUCUUUCUUGAUUUGGUGGUUGGUGGUGCAUGGCCGUUCUUAGUUGGUGGAGUGAUCUGUCUGGUUAAUUCCGAUAACGAACGAGACUCUCACUUACCAAUAAGAACACUGUUUCCAAAUUGAAGUCGGGUGGAAACAAACACUAAUCUUGAAGAUAUGUGUCUUCUUGGAAGGGUUAGUUAAGCCAAGUGGCUAAAGAAAGAGCAAUAACAGGUCUGUGAUGCCCUUAGAUGUUCUGGGCCGCACACGUGCUACAAUUGAAUAUACAACCCGUCCCUGGUUCGAAAGAGCUAGGCAAACGGUUAAUAUAUUUAACAGUCGGGAUUGUCGCUUGAAAGUGUUCGACAUGAACCUGGAAUUCCUAGUAAAGGCCAGUCAAUAGCUGGUCUUGAUUGAGUCCCUGCCCUUUGUACACACCGCCCGUCGCUACUACCGAUUGAAUGUCUUAGUGAGAACCAUGGAAGGCACCCUCGUUCUUGGAAACUGGGGAGCUUGAAGUGCUUCAAACUGUGUCAUUUAGAGGAAGUAAAAGUCGUAACAAG